GUAGAGUCUUACUUAUCCAACAUAAACGGGCCGGCAGAAUGUUGGAUAAGUGAAUAUGUUGGAUAAUAAGGAGGGAUUAAGGAAAAGCCUAUUAAACAUCAAAUUAGGUUAUGAUUUUACAAAUUAAGCACCAAAACAUCAUGUUAUACAAUAAAUUUGAUAGAAAAAGUAGUUCAAUACGAAAUAAUGCUAUGUAGUAAUUACUGUAUUUACGAAUUUAGCACCAAAAUAUCACGAUAUAUUGAAAACAUUGACUACAAAAAUGGCUUGGAUUAUCCAGAGGCUUGGAUAAGCGAGGCUUGGAUUAGUUUACAUAAAGCUCAAAUUUAAGAUAAGACUGUCCAACUCUGAUCAAAUCAUUCUCUUCUUCUUCAAUGUAAAUGUGCUUAUGUAUCCUUUUAAUAAUAAUAGAGUAAAAUAAUACAUGUAAUAAUAAUAAUAAUAAAUACAGGAAAAUAAUACAAGUAAUAAUAAAUAGAGUAAAAUAAUAAAUGCAAUAAUAAUAAUAAGAUCAGAGUGAAAUAAUAAAUGUAUUAAUAAUAAUAAAAAUAGAGUAAAAUAAAUGUAAUAGUAGCAACAAUAAUAGAGAAAAAUAAUAAAUGUAAUCAUACCAAUAAGAAUAGAGAAAAAUAAUAAAUGUACUAUAUAUUCUCGAGUAUAAGCUGACCCAAAUAUAAGCCAACCAGGACCCUCACCCGAGUAUAAGCCGAGGGGGGCUUUUUCAGUCUUAAAAAAGGGCUGAAAAACUAGGCUUAUACUUGAGUAUAUACAGUAAUUAAAAUAUUAAACAAUCAUCCAAGGUGUUAAAAGGUCCAAUAUAGGACAACAGUCUGGGCGACAGUCGAACUGAUGAAGGGAGUGUCUAUUACAGAAUAGAACAGACAUCAAAUAGACACAACAAGCAGGAAG
rnacentral:lncRNA from 1 species